rnacentral:rRNA from 1 species
AUUCCAGCUCCAAUAGCGUAUAUUAAAGUUGUUGCAGUUAAAAAGCUCGUAGUCGGAUUUUGGCAUCACGCCGAACUGUCUGCCGAUUGGUAAGUACGGUUUGGCGGGUGCUUCCUUCCGGAGGCUCGUUCCCUUCUUCAUUGAAGGGUUCGUUGGUUCCGGGUCUUUUACUUUGAGAAAAUUAGAGUGUUCAAAGCAGGCCUAUGCUCUGAAUAGGUUAGCAUGGAAUAAUAGAAUAGGACUAUGGUUCUAUUUUGUUGGUUUCUAGGAUCGAAGUAAUGAUUAAUAGGGACAGUUGGGGGCAUUCAUAUUCCAUUGUCAGAGGUGAAAUUCUUGGAUUCGCUGAAGACUAACUUAUGCGAAAGCAUUCACCAAGGAUGUCUUCAUUA